rnacentral:rRNA from 1 species
GGUCACUCCCCCUCCGCCGCUCGAGAGUUUGAUCCUGGCUCAGGAUGAACGCUGGCGGCGUGAUUAACACAUGCAAUUCGAACGAUGAAGCCCGUGCUUGCAGGGGUGGAUUAGUGGCGAACGGGUGAGUAACACGUGAGCAACCUGCCCUUGACUCUGGGAUAAGCGCUGGAAACGGUGUCUAAUACUGGAUAUGUGCCACGGCCGCAUGGUCUGUGGUUGGAAAGAUUUUUCGGUUGGGGAUGGGCUCGCGGCCUAUCAGAUUGUUGGUGAGGUAAUGGCUCACCAAGGCGUGGAGGGGUAGCCGGCCUGAUAGGGUGACCGGCCACACUGCGAUUGAGACACGGCCCAGACUCAUACGGGAGGCAGCAGUGGGGAAUAUUGCACAAUGGGAGGAAGCCUGACGCAGCAACGCCGCGUGAGGGAAGAGGGCAUUGGGGUUGUAAACCUAUUUAGCAGGAAGAAGCGAAAGUGACGUACUGCAGAAAGACCCGU